rnacentral:lncRNA from 1 species
AAGCUUAAGACGAGAGGAAUAAGAUUAUACUAGUUUGGGGGCCAAAAACUGUCCAAAGGUAACCAAAAAUUAGUGGCAAAGUCACGGUCUGAGUUGAAGUUUCGUCGGUUUCGAAGUGGAUUCGAGCAUGCAAGGUCAAACCCGUGGCCUAGGGGUUAUGAGUAGUCAUCCUACACCUUCAAACUCGACCAAAUCAACAAGGUUGGGCCAGGUUUGGCAAGGAAAAUCCUACAACUUGCUGGAAAAC